UCGAACGGUAACAGGAAGCAGCUUGCUGCUUCGCUGACGAGUGGCGGACGGGUGAGUAAUGUCUGGGAAACUGCCCGAUGGAGGGGGAUAACUACUGGAAACGGUAGCUAAUACCGCAUAACGUCGCAAGACCAAAGAGGGGGACCUUCGGGCCUCUUGCCAUCGGAUGUGCCCAGAUGGGAUUAGCUAGUAGGUGGGGUAACGGCUCACCUAGGCGACGAUCCCUAGCUGGUCUGAGAGGAUGACCAGCCACACUGGAACUGAGACACGGUCCAGACUCCUACGGGAGGCAGCAGUGGGGAAUAUUGCACAAUGGGCGCAAGCCUGAUGCAGCCAUGCCGCGUGUAUGAAGAAGGCCUUCGGGUUGUAAAGUACUUUCAGCGGGGAGGAAGGCGAUGAGGUUAAUAACCUCGUCGAUUGACGUUACCCGCAGAAGAAGCACCGGCUAACUCCGUGCCAGCAGCCGCGGUAAUACGGAGGGUGCAAGCGUUAAUCGGAAUUACUGGGCGUAAAGCGCACGCAGGCGGUCUGUCAAGUCGGAUGUGAAAUCCCCGGGCUCAACCUGGGAACUGCAUUCGAAACUGGCAGGCUUGAGUCUCGUAGAGGGGGGUAGAAUUCCAGGU
rnacentral:rRNA from 1 species